AUAUGCUUUUUAGAAGAACCAAAUUCAAGAACUUAACAGUUGGGUCUUCUAAGUGUUGGAGAAUUUGAAAAAUAGUAGUAUUCUUGAUAAUGCCUUAAUUUUUGGUGGUACUGGUGUUACGAAUGCAUCUAUUUAGUUAAUUGAUCCCACAAUAUGACCUUAUUUGAAAGUUAAAAGGCUGGAUCGCAUAAGCUUUCAAUGAGCCCUUUUUUAACAGUGAGUUUAUUUUGAAUUUGUUUUUAUGUAGGUUUGCCUCAGUGAAAUGAGGGCACAUAUUCGGACUUGUCAGAAGUACAUAGAUAAGUAUGGACCACUACAAGAACUUGAGGAGACAGCAGCAAGGUGUGUAUGUCCCUUUUGUCAGAGGGAACUGGAUGAAGACAGCUUGCUGGAUCAUUGUAUUACUCAUCACAGAUCAGAACAGAGGCCUGUGGAUUUUAAUAUAAUUGAGGAAGCUCUUAUCCGAAGAGUCUUAGACCGGUCACUUCUUGAAUAUGUGAAUCACUCGAACACCACAUAAUUUUAUUAAAACGAAGGGAAAAGGGACCACUGAAUUGCACCAUUUAAGAUGCUGCUUGAACAAAUUGGAGGGAAGUUGUCAAUGAUUGAUGGGCAAAAAUGUACAACACAGUUAUAUGUCCAUGUUUGUUGUUAUAGUGCAUUUAAAAACUGCUUUAAUUUU
rnacentral:sRNA from 1 species